AACCAUAGAAACCUGCGGAGUACCUGCGGAAGGAUCAUUACAGAGUAUAAAAACUCCUAAACCCAUGUGAACUUACCAGUAUUGUUGCCUCGGCGUGUGCUGGUGUUCGGCGGUAGCUACCCGGGACCUACCCGGGACCGUGUAGCUACCCGGCACCUCAAGGCCCGCCGGUGGUCCAAAACUUAACUCUUGAUAUAUCGUGACAUUCUGAAUUUCAAAACUUAAUAAGUUAAAACUUUC
rnacentral:misc_RNA from 1 species